CACAGGUUUACGCAGUGAAGAACAGGAGAGACACUAGGGUCAAAUCUGCACAGAACAGGACCACAGGAAGGAGUCCCUCUGCACAGAGCACUCGAAGGCUCCAGCUUCACGGCUACCAGAAGCCCCUCAGCCCCUCUGACACCCAGUGCUGGAGCAGGUGGGGAUCAGCCCUCACUGCCGAUGUCUGUGCCAUGGCCUUGCAUUGCGUCCUACUGAGUCCUCUCUCCACCCGGACCCUGCUGCCCAGGCACCCUUGCAGCCCAAGGCAGCUCUGCACCUUGUUUGGCUUCUGAGCUGCCAGGAGAGUCAAAUCAUCGGCUCCUUCAUGCUACUUGGAACACAGAGACAGUCGCCUCUUCUAUCUGUGGCUGUGCUUCCUCAGUUGGCCACAGCUAACCAUGGCCUGGAAAUAUGGAAUGGAAAAUAACCAAAAUAAAUAAUUCAGAAGUUUUCGUGACUUGCCCAGAGCCUCUGAAUACCGUGGCAAAAUCUCCUGUUGUCCUGCUCUGGCCUGCCUGCCACAUAAAUCAUCUCUUUGCUCAUCAAGCUCACAUCAGCUAGGACACAAGUUCAUCAGCCACUCGAUGGAUGCUGGGUCUCAGCAGGAAGAGAAGGUGGUUUCCAGGAAGUGCUCACUUUGUUCAAGAUAACACCUGGGAGGGCCAGAGAUUUAGCUCAGCAGGGGCUGGAAAAGCAGUGUCAACAGGGGCGAAUUGUAGAUGCCUGAGACCUGAUAGCUGUUAAUGGUUACCUGAGGGCCAAGGCUGCCAGGUUUCUGCAGACGCAGAACCUUUCCAGAUGAGAAUCAGGGACAGUCACACCCCAGGAGCGUGGGAAUCCGAGGACCGCUUCUGAGAUGGGGUGCAUGAUUCUCCACAGAUUUCAGAAUUGUCCAUCUCCGCCUGAGAUUCCCACUCACUAUGUAGACCAUGCUGGCCUUGAACGUGUGGCAACGCUCCUGCCGUACCCUUCUAAGUGCUGGAAUUACAGAAUGGCUUCUGCGUAACUCAGGACCGCACCAAACCCAACCAGACAAGGCUGUGGAGAGGCCUGGGGGCUCCAGGGUGGUCUCAGAGUCUAACACAGAGCCCUGGAGAGGAACAAUGCCCCUGGGGACACCGCUGGAAGAGGAGGAGACAGUUGUCUCCCCCCCCCCCCACCCCAGAGAAGGAGAGGGCGGCUAGCACAGCCCAGCCCCCCAGAAGGUGGGGCAGGACGGGGUGGUAGGGCACCAGGGUUGGGCCUGGAAUUUCCCUGGGAAGAGGGUCCCAGCACAAGAACAGCAAAGUCACAGUUUAAAUAAUGUUCAUAGUCUGAGGAUCUAGGGACCCACUUUUGGACCAAACCCAACUUUCAUGUUGGGAAAUUGCUCCCAGAUCAGGACGGAAGUUCAUGUUAACAGCCACGGAGAUUUACACCUCAGUUUACCCAUCUGGGCUGUGUC